rnacentral:tRNA from 14 species
AUGACCGGAACUAAGUUUUUUUGCCGAAGCUGUGGAUAUAGACACUUAAAGUGCUAUGUGGUAGAGGAGCGUUCCGCAUGGGGGGAAGCCAAGCGCGUAAGCAGCGGUGGACAGUGCGGAAGUGAGAAUGUCAGAUUGAGUAACGAAAACAUUGGUGAGAAUCCAAUGCCCCGAAAACUUAAGGGUUCCUCUGCAAGGCUCGUCCGCAGAGGGUUAGUCAGGACCUAACAUGAGGCCGAAAGGCGUAAUGGAUGGCAAGAAGGUUUAUAUUCCUUCACUAUUGUUUUCUUAGUCCUGAGGGACGAACAAAUGCACACCUUUUUUGUGUCCAGGCUUGGCAGCUUGGAAGUCACACACUAAUGGUUGGACAUUUUUUCCAAGAAAAGCUCAUUCGACUUUGAGAAAACAAUACCUGUACCGUAAACCGACACAGGUGAGUGGGUUGAAUAAACUAAGGGGAGCGAGAUAACUCUCUCUAAGGAACUCGGCAAAUUGGCUCUGUACCUUCGGAAGAAAGAGUGCCCUGUAAAGGGCCGCAGUGAAGAGAUCCAGGCGACUGUUUACCAAAAACACAGGUCUCCGCAAAGUCGCAAGACGAAGUAUGGGGGCUGACACCUGCCCAGUGCCAGAAGGUUAAAGAAGUUGGUCAAUCUUCGGAUGAAGCUGACAACUGAAGCCCUGGUGAACGGCGGCAGUAACUAUAACUGUCCUAAGGUAGCGAAAUUCCUUG